UCCCCCCAGAUUCCUUACAAACCCUCAGAUCUAACCAUUGGUCUGAGUGGCUAUCAAAGAGGAAAAGUAACACCGAAGCACACUUGGAGUCAUUAGCGAUGUACAAGUUUCAAAAAGCG
rnacentral:snoRNA from 1 species